GACGAACGCUGGCGGCGUGCUUAACACAUGCAAGUCGAACGGAAAGGCCCUUCUUUUGUGGGGUGCUCGAGUGGCGAACGGGUGAUUAACACGUGAGUAACCUGCCCUUGACUUUGGGAUAACUUCAGGAAACUGGGGCUAAUACCGGAUAUGAGCUCCUGCUGCAUGGUGGGGGUUGGAAAGUUUCGGCGGUUGGGGAUGGACUCGCGGCUUAUCAGCUUGUUGGUGGGGUAGUGGCUUACCAAGGCUUUGACGGGUAGCCGGCCUGAGAGGGUGACCGGCCACAUUGGGACUGAGAUACGGCCCAGACUCCUACGGGAGGCAGCAGUGGGGAAUAUUGCACAAUGGGCGGAAGCCUGAUGCAGCAACGCCGCGUGCGGGAUGACGGCCUUCGGGUUGUAAACCGCUUUCGCCUGUGACGAAGCGUGAGUGACGGUAAUGGGUAAAGAAGCACCGGCUAACUACGUG
rnacentral:rRNA from 1 species